rnacentral:rRNA from 1 species
AUUGAACGCUGGCGGCAUGCCUCACACAUGCAAGUCGAACGGCAGCACGGGUGCUUGCACCUGGUGGCGAGUGGCGAACGGGUGAGUAAUACAUCGGAACAUGUCCUGUAGUGGGGGAUAGCCCGGCGAAAGCCGGAUUAAUACCGCAUACGAUCCACGGAUGAAAGCGGGGGACCUUCGGGCCUCGCGCUAUAGGGUUGGCCGAUGGCUGAUUAGCUAGUUGGUGGGGUAAAGGCCUACCAAGGCGACGAUCAGUAGCUGGUCUGAGAGGACGACCAGCCACACUGGGACUGAGACACGGCCCAGACUCCUACGGGAGGCAGCAGUGGGGAAUUUUGGACAAUGGGCGAAAGCCUGAUCCAGCAAUGCCGCGUGUGUGAAGAAGGCCUUCGGGUUGUAAAGCACUUUUGUCCGGAAAGAAAUCCUUGACUCUAAUACAGUCGGGGGAUGACGGUACCGGAAGAAUAAGCACCGGCUAACUACGUG